rnacentral:tRNA from 1 species
CGACGCGGAAGCCCUUGCGGGCACGCAGGUCGUUAUAGGCGGCCUGGACGGUCUUGGCCGUCACCAGUUCGAGGCUGGCCUUGUAGGC